UUGACCUCGGAUCAUGUAGGGAUACCCGCUGAACUUAAGCAUAUCAAUAAGCGGAGGA
rnacentral:rRNA from 1 species